rnacentral:rRNA from 1 species
GAUGAACGCUGGCGGCGUGCCUAAUACAUGCAAGUCGAGCGAACGGACGAGAAGCUUGCUUCUCUGAUGUUAGCGGCGGACGGGUGAGUAACACGUGGAUAACCUACCUAUAAGACUGGGAUAACUUCGGGAAACCGGAGCUAAUACCGGAUGAUAUUUUGAACCGCAUGGUUCAAAAGUGAAAGACGGUCUUGCUGUCACUUAUGGAUGGAUCCGCGCUGCAUUCGCUAGUUGGUAAGGUUACGGCUUACCAAGGCAACGAUGCAUAGCCGACCUGAGAGGGUGAUCGGCCACACUGGAACUGAGACACGGUCCAGACUCCUACGGGAGGCAGCAGUAGGGAAUCUUCCGCAAUGGGCGAAAGCCUGACGGAGCAACGCCGCGUGAGUGAUGAAGGUCUUCGGAUCGUAAAACUCUGUUAUUAGGGAAGAACAUAUGUGUAAGUAACUGUGCACAUCUUGACGGUACCUAAUCAGAAAGCCACGGCUAACUACGUG